rnacentral:tRNA from 1 species
UCCCUGAUGGCUCAGAUGGUAAAGAAUCUGCCUGCAAUGCAGCAGAUCUGGGUUCAAUCCCUGGGUUGGGAA